rnacentral:rRNA from 1 species
ACACGCAUGACACACUGCAUAUCAAUAAGCGGGAGGAAAAGAAACUAACUAGGAUUCCCUCAGUAACGGCGAGUGAAGCGGGAAGAGCUCAAAUUUGAAAUCUUCAAGGUUCUACCUUGACGAAUUGUAGUUUAAAGAAGUGUUUUCUGUUGGAUGUUUUGGUAAAAGUUCUUUGGAAUAGGACAUCAUAGAGGGUGAGAAUCCCGUACUUGACCAUUACUUUCCAGCUGUUGUGAUACACUUUCAAAGAGUCGGAUUGUUUGGGAAUGCAGUCCAAAAUGGGUGGUAAAUUUCAUCUAAAGCUAAAUAUUGGCGAGAGACCGAUAGCGAACAAGUACCGUGAGGGAAAGAUGAAAAGAACUUUGAAAAGAGAGUUAAACAGUACGUGAAAUUGUCAAAAGGGAAGCGUUUGACACCAGUGUUGUUUUCUCGAAAAUCAAUUAAAAAGAGUUGGAUUUUGUAUUGUUAAGACCUUAUCAGCUUACUGUACUUUUUUCUUGCUCUUUUUAAUGCACUUUUCGUUUAACAAGUCAACAUCAAUUUCUUUUGUUGUAAAAGGGUCAUUGGAAGGUGGCUUUCACUUCGGUGAAAGUGUUUAUAGCCUUUGGCUUCUACAAUCGGAGAGAUUGAGGUCUGCAGCGUAGAUCCUUCGGGGUUAGAUACGUAGAUGCUAAGUUAUAGUUUUUUAUAGACAACUUGUUGACUAUGAUUAAUCAUGUAGCUUACUCGUUUACGCUAUUUUACCUACGCUUAGGAUGUUGACUGAUAUGUAGUCGUA